rnacentral:rRNA from 1 species
GAUGAACGCUGGCGGCGUGCUUAACACAUGCAAGUCGAACGAAGCAUUUGCGACAGAUUUUUUCGGAAUGAAGUUGCUUAUGACUGAGUGGCGGACGGGUGAGUAACGCGUGGGUAACCUGCCUUGUACUGGGGGAUAGCAGCUGGAAACGGCUGGUAAUACCGCAUAAGCGCACAAUGUUGCAUGACAUGGUGUGAAAAACUCCGGUGGUAUAAGAUGGACCCGCGUCUGAUUAGCUAGUUGGUGAGAUAACAGCCCACCAAGGCGACGAUCAGUAGCCGACCUGAGAGGGUGACCGGCAACAUUGGGACUGAGACACGGCCCAGACUCCUACGGGAGGCAGCAGUGGGGAAUAUUGCACAAUGGAGGAAACUCUGAUGCAGCGACGCCGCGUGAGUGAAGAAAUAAUUCGUUAUGUAAAGCUCUAUCAGCAGGGAAGAUAGUGACGGUACCUGACUAAGAAGCUCCGGCUAAAUACGUG